AAAUCCUAAUGUUGGCAAAAUAAAUAAACCGAAAACGGUGAAGGGUUAAGCAUUUAUUUAAUACACACAGCCAGGAUAAUAGAAAUUCCUUCGUACGUGCUUAGAGAUUUCAACAUUGCUUUCAAACAUUGUUUAGGAUCGUUCUUUUUGUUACUGAAAAUCUUGGAAUUCUGAUUUUUUUUCUUUUCUUUUUUUUCAUUUAAAUGCAAUGGUGGAUGCAAAUGUUUGGACUGAACGAUGCCAGAAGUUCCCUAACGCGUGUUCUUUUUAUGUUACGUCAUUGUGAUGUUGUCUUACUAUCGUUACUACAUUCUCAGAGUGCAUCGAACUCAAUGGAAUAUCUUAUAAUGGGGUGAAACGGAUCAGUUCCUCUGGACAGAGCUGCUUAAACUGGUUAGAUAUAAGCAACACGUACAACCUGAGCAUUGACUUGAACGCUGACCCAGGUAAAUUACUUUUUUUUAAAAAACAAAAAAAACCAAACAAUUUUACAAUUCAUUUGUGCACUAAUGUAACGUGAAUCAUUACCUGAAUCUUUAAAAACUAGACUAGAGAACUUGCUGGUGUUUUUUGAGGUUGAGCAAAUACUAUUUCACUGCACAGUACCUGAAGUCAACACACAUGCAUUUCAGCCUUGCCACGUGUGCAGCACCAUUGUGUGUAUGAAAUGUGCUGUUGCACUUAUAUAGAGUGAUAGUACCGGGAAGAUCGGUAUACAGGUGCGGAAUAUAAAACAUACCGUUCAUAUCUGUCUCAGGAGAGUGGGAUCACAGCUACUGCCACAACCCGGACGCCUCUGACGAGCCGUGGUGUUUUGUAGCUUCGGAGGAAGAGGGUAUUGAGAGGCAAGACUGCGUCUUAGAGACGUGCCAAGGUAUACAAGUACAGACGAAGCCACCAAAUAUCCGUCCAGUGCUUAGGGAGAGUGUUGCAGUGAAACUCGACCCUGGUGUGAACAGUAGACCGAACCUCAGACCCAAGAAGAAAAAAGACCCUGGAGCUUUUGGCUACACACUAACGGCCCUUCUCAUGCUGAUCAUCAU